AGGGGCGCAGCGCGCCUGCUGCUCCUCCUGGGGCUCCUUCUCCCUCCCUCCCUCCCUCGUCAGCAUGGAAGGUAUGGAGCAGAGUCACGACCACCAGGCCCAGCCAGCCGGAUGGGUGUGAGCUGAAGCAGAAAGCCGGAGCGUAACCCAUGGAGCAGCCGAGGCAGGGGAGGAGGAGCCGGAGUCGCCUUUCAGCGCCUUUUAUGCCGGAGCACGUGCUGUGGUGGUAGAGUGAAAGGCAGAGCAAUGUGCUUCCAUCCACACAGCGCUACAGGAGGGUUUCCAGGCAGUCUCGGCCUCCCGUCCCUGUCCCUCCUUGCUGAAGAUAUAACCCAGCACGACUUCUGUCAUAAUGAAACUACAGGCGUCCCAAGGGGUGGAGUGUGCAUGGAUUCAGCACUGCAACACCUUCAGAGGGGAUGCACGCUCCGGGGAGAGAUGCAGACCAACCACUCUGCCGAGAAAUGCUAAGGAAUCCUCCCCAUUGUCUCCUUCCUUGGGACCUUGAAACCAGGAGAGAAUUUCACGGAUCUCUUAGCAAAUCCACCGGUUAGGACACGUGAGAGCUGCAAGGAGAGGGAAGUCUCACAGCCUCAUUCUCCCUUCAGCACUGUGGAGAACAAGGAAGGAUCAACUGCUGACCGUGCAAGGUGCCAAUUAGCUCCGGAUAUCAGGGUUUUCAGUGUUCCCUAAGGAGGCAGUGGGGCAGGGAAUACCAACCUUGAAGAUGUCAACCUGUGGCUUGAUAUAUUGUUCUAUAGCUAAGAUUUUUGUAAACCGCUUUGGGAGGUUCACCUGGAAGCAGUGAAUAAAUGCAAAAACAUAAAAUAAAAUAGAAUGAAAUGAAAUAAAACCAGUUUGGU